rnacentral:rRNA from 1 species
UAGGAUAACUACGGAAAAGCUGUAGCUAAUACUUGCUUUAGCACUCUUGAUUCAUUUCUUGAGUGUGUACUUGUUAAGCCUUUUAAGAAAAAAGUUAUUAACUUAAGGAAUUAUAACAAAGAAGCGACACGUAAUGGAUCCGUCCAUUUUUAGUGUGUAUCAAUCGAGUUUCUGACCUAUCAGCUUUUGAUGUUAGGGUAUUGGCCUAACAUGGCUAUGACGGGUAACGGGGAAUUAGAGUUCGAUUCCGGAGAGGGAGCCUGAGAAAUAGCUACCACAUCUAAGGAAGGCAGCAGGCGCGUAAAUUACCCAAUUCUAAAGAAGAGAGGUAGUGACAAGAAAUAACAAUACAAGGCCAAUCUGGCUUUGUAAUUGGAAUGAUGGGAAUUUAAAACCUUCCCAAAACUCAAUUGGAGGGCAAGUCUGGUGCCAGCAGCCGCGGUAAUUCCAGCUCCAAUAGCGUAUAUUAAAAUUGUUGCAGUUAAAACGCUCGUAGUUGAAUUUCAAAGAAUCGAUAUUUUAAGCAACGCUUCUAGCUUAAUCCACAUAACUGAUACUUCGUAUCGACUUUGUGCGCAUUUUGCUAUUAUGUGUUCUUUUAAUUAAAAUGAUUCUUUUUAAGGACUUUCUUUGCU